AGCGGCGGACGGGUGAGUAACACGUAGGCAACCUGCCUGUAAGACCGGGAUAACUACCGGAAACGGUAGCUAAGACCGGAUAAGUGGUCYUCUCGCAUGAGAGGAUCAAGAAACACGGGGYAACCUGUGGCUUACAGAUGGGCCUGCGGCGCAUUAGCUAGUUGGUGGGGUAACGGCYCACCAAGGCGACGAUGCGUAGCCGACCUGAGAGGGUGAUCGGCCACACUGGGACUGAGACACGGCCCAGACUCCUACGGGAGGCAGCAGUAGGGAAUCUUCCGCAAUGGACGCAAGUCUGACGGAGCAACGCCGCGUGAGUGAUGAAGGUUUUCGGAUCGUAAAGCUCUGUUGCCAGGGAAGAACGUCGCGGAGAGUAACUG
rnacentral:rRNA from 1 species